AGCGAACGCUGGCGGCAGGCCUAACACAUGCAAGUCGAGCGCCGUAGCAAUACGGAGCGGCAGACGGGAGAGUAACACGUGGGAACGUACCCUUCAGUACGGAACAACCAAGGGAAACUUUGGCUAAUACCGUAUACGUCCGUACGGAGAAAGAUGUAUCGCUGAAGGAUCGGCCCGCGGCUGAUUAGCUUGUUGGUGAGGUAACGGCUCACCAAGGCGACGAUCAGUAGCUGGUCUGAGAGGAUGAUCAGCCUCACUGGGACUGAGACACGGCCCAGACUCCUACGGGAGGCAGCAGUGGGGAAUAUUGGACAAUGGGCGCAAGCCUGAUCCAGCCAAGCCGCGUGGGUGAUGAAGGCCCUAGGGUUGUAAAGCCCUUUCGGCGGGGAAGAUAAUGACGGUACCCGCAGAAGAAGCCCCGGCUAACUUCGUGCCAUCCGCCGCAGUAAAAC
rnacentral:rRNA from 1 species